rnacentral:rRNA from 1 species
GACGAACGCUGGCGGCGUGCUUAACACAUGCAAGUCGAACGGAAAGGCCCUGCUUUUGUGGGGUGCUCGAGUGGCGAACGGGUGAGUAACACGUGAGUAACCUGCCCUUGACUUUGGGAUAACUUCAGGAAACUGGGGCUAAUACCGGAUAGGAGCUCCUGCUGCAUGGUGGGGGUUGGAAAGUUUCGGCGGUUGGGGAUGGACUCGCGGCUUAUCAGCUUGUUGGUGGGGUAGUGGCUUACCAAGGCUUUGACGGGUAGCCGGCCUGAGAGGGUGACCGGCCACAUUGGGACUGAGAUACGGCCCAGCCUCCUACGGGAGGCAGCAGUGGGGAAUAUUGCACACUGGGCGGAAGCCUGAUGCAGCAACGCCGCGUGCGGGAUGACGGCCUUCGGGUUGUAAACCGCUUUCGCCUGUGACGAAGCGUGAGUGACGGUAAUGGGUAAAGAAGCACCGGCUAACUACGUG